rnacentral:rRNA from 1 species
AUGGCGAGCGCAGGCCAGCGGUGCGCCGGCUGCUACGGCGGCAUCGGACGCUCGGAGGCCGCCUUCUCGUCGGAGUGCGCCCACACUUUCCACCCGCUAUGCGUCUCCGGCGCCCACUCGUGUCCGUCCUGUUCCGCGCCGAUGCCGAUGUGGACGUCUCCCUUCGUGGACCAGCCAUCGCCAGCCGUGUACGACGACGACGAGCCGUUGGAGCCUCUGGCGGCGCCGCUCGACGACGACGCGGCCAACGGCGGAGGCAGGCUCGUCCUCGACGCGCACUGCGAGCACCCAGCCGUCGCGAGGGGGGAGCCGCACGACAGCUUCGUGGUGCUGGUCCACGCCAAGGCCCCUGGCGCAGCCACCGCGGCGGCGGCGGAGCAAGCGCGCACGCCGCUUGACCUCGUCACCGUGCUGGACGUCAGCGGCAGCAUGACUGACCUCAAGAUCGCGCUGGCCGGGAAGGUCAAGGCCAAGGACGCCGUGCAGUUGCUCAUGGCUGAUGGUGGAACAAAUAUCCUCAAGGGCCUUACCGAAGCUGCCAAGGUGCUCGACGGCCGCCGGCACAAGAACGCCGUCGCCAGCGUCAUCCUUCUCUCGGACGGCCAGGACACGUACAACCUGGGAGGAGGAGGUUACGGCUACGGCUCGGUCUCCUACUCGAAGAACUACCGUGCUCUCGUGCCAGGCUCCUUGCUGAGUAGCGCCGGCCACCGAUCGACACCGAUACACACGUUUGGCUUUGGCGGCGACCACGACUCGUCAGCCAUGCACACUAUCGCGGAGGAGACAGGUGGCACUUUCUCUUUCAUCGAGGACGAGACGGUGGUGCAGGACUCGUUCGCGCAGUGCAUCGGCGGGCUCCUCUCCGUCGUCGUGCAGGAGGCGCUCAUCACCGUCAAGUGCGUGCACCCGGUGCGCGUCCGGGCAGUCAAGUCCGGCCGCUACGACAGCAGCAUCGACGCGUACGCGCGCUCCGCCUCUGUGGACGUCGGCGAGCUCUACGCGGACGAGGAGAGGCGCUUCCUGCUGCUGGUGGAUGUGCCCAAGGCCGGCGAAGCUGACGAAGUGACGCAGAUCAUGAAGGUGACCUGCACCUACCGCGACACGGCGACAGGGCAGGUGGUGGACGUGGCCGGCGAGGACGUGGCGGUGCAGAGGCCGGUGGAGGUGGCCAAGGACCAGCAGCCGUCCAUGGAGGUCGCGCGGGAGAAGUUCCGCGUGGAGGCAACCGAGGACAUCGCGGCGGCCCGUGCGGCCGCGGAGCGCGGCGAGUACACGGAGGCCGCGAGGAUACUGGACCGCAGGCAGGAGGCGCUGCUGCCGGCGCUGGCCGACGACGCGAGGUGCAAGGCGCUGGUGGAGGAGCUGCGCGAGCUGAGCACCCGCGUGGCGAGCCGGCGGGAGUACGAGAAGUCGGGGCGCGCGUGCAUCCUGACAGGCUACAGCUCCCACGCGCAGCAGCGCGCCGCGUCGGCCUGCGUGGCCGGUGCCGGAGGAGGAUACCGUUGCCCACCGCCGCCCGGGGGGGCUGGGGGCAUGGGCAUGGGCGGGGCGGCGUCGGUUUUUGGUUUCGGUGCGGCGGGGGCGUAUGCGACGCCGGCGAUGCAGAUGAUGGUGGGCGCGUCGAGGCAAGUACGUGAGCAGCAGCAGCAACAGCAGCCAUCGACGUUGAAGAGGAAGAGCGGAAGCGACGGCGGCAACUAA